rnacentral:misc_RNA from 1 species
UGGCAGGAUCAACCAGGUAACAUUCCUCUUCGACAAGGCCGUUUGCACACCAACAGGUCGACGUGCGAACGGCAGUCGUUUAAGAGUAGCGAAAACGCUUGAUAUGGAAUACACAAGGCCGUAAGAGCCAGGCACCCGAUUAAGGUUCUGCAUCCACGAGACCAAGCGACGCUCUGCGAGCCAUUUGGCCAACGCAAAUACAUUGGCAAGAUGGAGCACAAAGACCGCUUCGAGGUUCAUCCGACGUCGUGUGGACGACACAAGACGAAAAAGGGACAUUGGUAUCACAAAGAAAUUCCGUCAACUAGGUAUGCAACACAGGAAACCCGUCAUAUGCGCAAGGCAAGAACCAUACGCAUAACUGAAAAGGCAUGCCCGGGUGGACGUCGCUGCGCAAGCAGAAGUCCAACCACCCGUAACACGCCAAACACCACUCACGCACCUUUACGGUCGACAUUCCCUAGAGUCGCCCAAACAUUCCUACCACCCGCCAGGCACGAAUGCCUAACAAGCAACAGGAGGCCCAAAGCUACCCCCAGAAUGC